AUGCCGGAAUUUAAUCUCCGACGGCUCCUCAAGCAAAGGCUGCUCGGCCUCGUGGCGAUAGAGCGAGCGCGCAAGCGCCAAGCUUCUAGGCUGACCUGGAUCAAACUGGGAGACGUGGGAACCAAGUUCUUUCAUGCAAUGAUUCGAGCGCGACGUAGAAAGAACUUCAUCCACAGCCUGAGGACUGGUAAUGGCAUUGUCACAUCUCAUGAGGACAAGGAGACAGUCAUUUUCGAGCAUUUCAACUCCAUCCUCGGCUCCAAAGGGGACUGUCAUAGGGACAUCAACUGGAGCCAACUGCAGCUGCCCUCUGUUCGAGGUGGAGGCCUCGACAACCCCUUCUCUAAGGAAGAAGUG
rnacentral:rRNA from 1 species